rnacentral:lncRNA from 1 species
CAGACCGCUGGUAGUGGACUUGAGGCUGUCGGGAAGGAGGGGUGUGGCCUAGACCACUAAGGGCCGUGACGUGGUGCCGCUGAGCUUGGACCCCGACCAGAAGAUAGAGAUUGAAACGAUGAGGAAAACGAAGUGCCUAAUCCCCGCUGGACGCUAACUGCAGGGCAAGCUCCCCAGUGUUGUAGUUGUGUUUCGGAGGCCGAGAACCGCUAUCGGGCUUCCUCGGACUCUGGCCCUGGAGGGGGGAAACGGCGAGGGAGAAGGCGAAACGAGUCUCCAGUGUGUUCUUGGGGCCUGGUGCGAGGCCCAGAGAAUUCUCUGCAGGCCUUUGCCCGGGCACUGAUUAAGGCUGCGAAGAGACGCACCGGGCUGCGGGCUUAGUAGCUUCAGGCUUCUGAAGUCAGAGGGAGGGCUGAGAGCUUACACUUCUGGAGCUCCCCGGGAGACGGCAACUACCCAACCGUGUGGGUGUGUUUGUCACCCAGAAAUACUCUCCACACCAUGCUGCACUGCUGCGGAUGAGGGAAGGAUGGUGUCGGGGCUUCAAGACUGUUUUUCCUACCUCUUCAGUGCCUCUUUCAGUGAUAUGAAGUUAAAACCAGG